AAUAAGUGCAGUCGUGAGUAUCCAUGUUCAACGUUUGACCAUUUAUCUUAUUUAAAAAAUUUAUUAAAAAAAUUAGUCACAUAUAAAGUACUAGUUUUAUCAUCUAAUAAUAACAAAAAUACUAUAAAAAAAUAUUAUAUAAGAUGAACAGUCAAACGUUAGACAUGAACAGU
rfam:Oryza barthii chromosome 8, whole genome shotgun sequence.